rnacentral:rRNA from 1 species
GAUGAACGCUAGCUACAGGCUUAACACAUGCGAGUCGAGCGAGCGGCGGACGGGUGUGUAAUGUCUGGGAAACUGCCUGAUGGAGGGGGAUAACUACUGGAAACAGUAGCUAAUACCGCAUACCAUCAGAUGUGCCCAGAUGGGAUUAGCCAGUAGGUGGGGUAACGGCUCACCUAGGCGACGAUCCCUAGCGGGUCUGUGAGGAUGACCAGCCACACUGGAACUGAGACACGGUCCAGACUCCUACGGGAGGCAGCAGGGGGGAAUAUUGCACAAUGGGCGCAAGCCUGAUGCAGCCAUGCCGCGUGUGUGAAGAAGGCCUUCGGGUUGUAAAGCACUUUCAGCGGGGAGGCGUUACCCGCAGAAGAAGCACCGGCUAACUCCGUGCCAGCAGCCGCGGUAAGUC